AUACAGCAAAUUAGACAUAAUUUCACAGUGCAAUUUCCUGAGAAGUGGCUGCCAGUAAUGCAGACUCAGAAUGUGUCCUUUCUAUCCGACAGGAGGCACUCAGCCUGGAGAUGAAGAUUUUUGGCUCCUGGCCCUCUACUCUAGGAUUCUCUUGCAAUUGGUUCCCCAGAGGAAUUGCAGGGAGGAUAACAAAGAAAAGAGAACAUGGAACUAGGCCUCUGCUAGACACUCCCCUUUUCCCUCCCAAAGAGAACGUUGGACGGGGGACCAUCAGAGACAACAGAUGUUACUGCUGUGUUGGUAUUCCAAGAAGGAUGAUCUGCUGACUGGUCUGGAUUUCUGGGCUUUAGUCAAGUAACAGCCUUGCAAAAAGGACACGUUUGACACUCAACUGGAGUCUUGUUCUUCUUUCUCUUUUACGUAAUCACUGCUGCUGAGGUAUCAGUAUCAAGGCACUGAAAGUGUGGCCUUUAGCUCAUCCUCCACACCAGUGGAGAGGCUGUCUCAGAUUAGAAGAAGACAAAAGACAACAGAUGACGUGUUUAAUGAGAUUAUGAACACCUCUGGGACGGCUGACACUGAGCAGAGAGCAGGGAGGAUUUCUCUAUCUGAAAAACUGGACAUGGACAUUGUGAGCAGGAGAGCAGCUCAGAAGCAUGAGCAUGGCAUGGCACACAG